AAAAUAUUUAUUAAAUGAAAUAUUUCUAUUUUGUGAACUUUCUUUUUUUAAUGAAAUCAUAUUAUAUAUACAUAUAUUUUCGUUUUAAAAUUUGUUUUUAAAACUUUAUAAAUGUUUCCUUUUUAUUAUAUAUGUUAUUUAGAAAAUUUUAAAAAGGAAACUAAAUAAAAAAUUCAAUAAUAGUAUUAAAUGUAAUAUUUUUUUAAUUUAUUAAAGAUAUCAGUGUAAUCAAUUAUCAUGAAAAUUAACAUGAACGCGACACAUAAGAAACUGACUUCUCAAAUAAUAUAUAUAUAUUUUUUUGAACACAAACUUCUCAGAUAAUAUUAUAGAGAUAAUUUGAUCAACCAACUCAUAGAACAUGUUUGGGAAUUAUUAUUGUUUGCCUUUUUAUGGGUAUUGUAGGGACCAACAUUAAUCACUUUUCCUUUGAUGCAAUUAUAAUUAAUUAGUUUGUCUUGAUGCCGUUGUCAC
rnacentral:lncRNA from 1 species